rnacentral:rRNA from 1 species
UACGGGGGGGGCAAGCGUUGUUCGGAAUUACUGGGCGUAAAGGGCUCGUAGGUGGCCAACUAAGUCAUACGUGAAAUCCCUCGGCUUAACCGGGGAACUGCGUCUGAUACUGGAUGGCUUGAGUUCGGGAGAGGGAUGCGGAAUUCCAGGUGUAGCGGUGAAAUGCGUAGAUAUCUGGAAGAACACCGGUGGCGAAGGCGGCCUUCUGGACGGUGACUGACGCUGAGACGCGAAAGCGUGGGGAGCAAACAGG